rnacentral:rRNA from 1 species
UACGGAGGGUGCAAGCGUUGCUCGGAAUUACUGGGCGUAAAGCGUACGCAGGCUGUUCGUUAAGUCGGGUGUGAAAUCCCGGGGCUCGACCCCGGAAUUGCGCCCGAAACUGACGAGCUUGAGUGCGGGAGAGGGAAGCGGAAUUCCUGGUGUAGAGGUGAAAUUCGUAGAUAUCAGGAGGAACACCGGUGGCGAAAGCGGCUUCCUGGCCCGACACUGACGCUCAUGUACGAAAGCGUGGGGAGCAAACAGG